rnacentral:rRNA from 1 species
AACGAACGCUGGCGACAUGCCUAACACAUGCAAGUCGAACGAGACCUUCGGGUCUAGUGGCGCACGGGUGCGUAACGCGUGGGAACCUGCCCUUAGGUUCGGAAUAACUCCCCGAAAGGGGUGCUAAUACCGGAUAAUGUCUUCGGACCAAAGAUUUAUCGCCUUUGGAUGGGCCCGCGUUGGAUUAGCUAGUUGGUAGGGUAAAAGCCUACCAAGGCGACGAUCCAUAGCUGGUCUGAGAGGAUGAUCAGCCACACUGGGACUGAGACACGGCCCAGACUCCUACGGGAGGCAGCAGUGGGGAAUAUUGGACAAUGGGCGAAAGCCUGAUCCAGCAAUGCCGCGUGAGUGAUGAAGGUCUUAGGGUUGUAAAGCUCUUUUACCCGGGAUGAUAAUGACAGUACCGGGAGAAUAAGCUCCGGCUAACUCCGUG